rnacentral:rRNA from 1 species
CACGUAGGGGGCAAGCGUUGUCCGGAUUUAUUGGGCGUAAAGAGCUCGUAGGUGGCUGAGUAAGUCGGAUGUUAAAUCCCCAGGCUCAACCUGGGACACCACCCGAUACUGCUCUGGCUAGAGUCCGGUAGGGGAGCGUGGAAUUCCUGGUGUAGCGGUGAAAUGCGUUGAUAUCAGGAGGAACACCCAUGGCGAAGGCAGCUAACUGGGCAUUAUCUGACGCUGAGGCGCGAAAGCGUGGGUAGCAAACAGG